rnacentral:rRNA from 1 species
GACGAACGCUGGCGGCGUGCUUAACACAUGCAAGUCGAACGGAAAGGCCCUGCUUUUGUGGGGUGCUCGAGUGGCGAACGGGUGAGUAACAGGUGAGUAACCUGCCCUUGACUUUGGGAUAACUUCAGGAAACUGGGGUUAAUACCGGAUAGGAGCUCCUGCUGCAUGGUGGGGGUUGGAAAGUUUGGGCGGUCGGGGUUGGACUCGCGGCUUAUCAGCUUGUUGGUGGGGUAGUGGCUUACCAAGGCUUUGACGGGUAGCCGGCCUGAGAGGGUGACCGGCCACAUUGGGACUGAGAUACGGCCCAGACUCCUACGGGAGGCAGCAGUGGGGAAUAUUGCACAAUGGGCGGAAGCCUGAUGCAGCAACGCCGCGUGCGGGAUGACGGCCUUCGGGUUGUAAACCGCUUUCGCCUGUGACGAAGCGUGAGUGACGGUAAUGGGUAAAGAAGCACCGGCUAACUACGUG